GAUGAAGAACGUAGCGAAAUGCGAUGAGUAAUGCGAAUUGCAGAAUUUCCGUGAGUCAUCGAAUCUUUGAACGCACAUUGCGCCCACUGGUAUUCCGGUGGGCAUGCCUGUUCGAGCGUCAUUAUCCUCCCUCAAACCCCGGGUUUGGUGUUGGACCCAAGUUGUGUGAACAACUGGUCUCAAAGACAAUGACGGCGUCCGUGGGACCCUCGGUGCAACGAGCUUUUAGGAGCACGCAUCGAGUUGCAAGGACCUUCCGGGCCGGUCUCCUUUACCAUUUUACAAGGUUGACCUCGGAUCAGGUAGGAAUACCCGCUGAACUUAAGCAUAUCAAUAAGCGGAGGA
rnacentral:misc_RNA from 1 species